rnacentral:lncRNA from 1 species
GGAGGGUGUUUGCCAAUAUCUCAGGAUAUGUGUCUGUCAAGAUCGCGAUGCUUGUGGUGUAUGAAAAUAUCUCAAGUAAGUUACCGUCAAGUUCUCGAUGCUUGUGGCGUAUGAACAUCUUUAAGUUGAGUGGCUGUCAAGGUAUCGGUGCUUGUGGUGUUAGAACACGUCUCAAUAUAACUGACUGUUACGUUCUUGGUGCUUCCGUUAUUUUACUGUUUCUCCAGACAAGUGACUGUUAAGUUCUCGGUGCUUCUGUUGUUUUACUGUUUCUCCAGACAAGUGACUGUUUAGAUCGUGCUGCUUCUGUUGUUUUACUGUUUCUCCAAACGAGUGACUGUUAAGAUCUUUGUUCUGUCGUGCUUCUGUUGUUUUACUGUUUCUCCAGUCGACUGACUGUCAAGAUCUUAUUGCUUCUGUUGUUUUACUGUUUCUCCAGACGAGUGACUUUCAAGAUCUUGGUGUUUCUGUUGUUUAACUGUUUCUUAAGAUGAGUGACUGUCAAUAUCUUGGUGCUUCUGUUGUUUUACUGUUUCUCCAGACGAGUGACUGUCAAGAUCUUGGUGCUUCUGUUGUUUUACUGUUUCUCCAGACGAGUGACUGUCAAGAUCUUGGUGCUUCUGUUGUUUUACUGUUUCUCAGAUGAGUGACUGUCAAGAUCUUGGUGCUUCCGUUGUAUUACUGGUUCUCAAGAUGAGUGACUGUCAAGAUCUUGGUGCUUCUGUUUUUUUUUUGUUUCUCAAGAUGAGUGACUGUAGAGAUCGCAGCGUUUGUGCUGCUUUAUUGUUUAUCAAAAUUAGUGACUGUGAGUCUCAUUGCUUGUUCUGUUGUACUUCAUAUCCUGAUGAGUGACUAUUAAAAGAUCUCUGGUUUUGUGUUGCUUUACUGUUUCUCAAGAUCAGUGACUGCGAGA